rnacentral:lncRNA from 1 species
AUGGACUCAGCCAAGAGCCGUGGAGGAGCUAAAGAUCCCAAGCUAGCGAAGGUCAUAGUGCCUGAUAAGAGCUCCUUCAAAGAGAAGGACAUCUUUGAAUGCCGAACCCAACUGCGGUUGACAACAACAGUGACCUGCCAUGAGACCAGUGUGGAAACCCUCUCCCAGCAAACUAUUGUCACAGGAAGUUCUGGCAUAGCUAAGCACAGGCCUGCUAUAAUUACUCCUCUGCAUCAAAGGCCGUCUGUUUUCCAGCCUGGAGGGAAGGAAUCCCAGUGCGCUAAAAUUCACCUGCCCUCUGCCACUUCCCUGGAAAAAGGGUAUGAUGUUCAAGGCACAUGGAAGGGCAGAAGUGGGGCUGGGAGGGUAUCCCUAUGCGAUGAAAGGAUGCCAAACAGCCACACCCCUGGAAAGCAGAUUUCUCCUUUUCAAUUGGAGGAGCUAAGGCAUGGCGGCAAUCAAGGGACAGUCACAGCACCCUUACCACCAAAGUUCCAGGAGCCCCCUAGAGGUCUCUCACGCCAUCAGCUGGAAUGUUCCAUUCUUGCCUCUCUGAGUGUGAAGCAAGUGGUCAAGGAUCUACGGCAGAGUGUGAUACGAGGUUUGGAAAUAGUUGACGGGGUGUUAAGGGCCAAGUACCCCAUCUGCAAUUCUUGUGGGACCUGCAGCCCCUGUUGUUCCCAUCCUCAUUCCGAACAUGACCCUCUCCUACAUAUUUACCCACAGAAAACUGUGUGUAAUGGGCAGGUUCGCAUGCAUCUGAACUGCCAACUAAAAAUCAAGCAAACCCAUGCCAAAAACAGGGGCCUGUUGAAGACUGGAGGGGUGAAUGUUCUGAAGGAACAGAGAAAGGAACCAGACUGCGACAGUAGCAGUGGAAGGGAAAGUAUCCCAGUUGAAUGGCCCUCUGGGGGUCCGGCACCAGCAAGAGUAAAGCAAGACCAGGCCAAACAGCACUCAAACUACAAUGACUCUCCCAAAACUAUGCUUUGCCAGAAGCUUAAGCAUUCUGUGCUCAGUUCCAUGAGCAUGGAUCAGCUGAUGAAGGAUCUACAUCUGAGCAUGCAUCGUGGCUCAGAAAAGAAAUGUCAGAAGGUGAAGUCUGAAUGCUCUGUAUGCUGUCUGUGUGGCAGCUGCCGACCCAGCUGCCCCCACCCUCAUAGCCUGGAAUAUGGCACCCUCCUUCUCUACCCUUGGUUGGCUAUCCAUGGUGGGCAACUGCCCAUGGAUUUAGACUUCUAUCUAAAGAUGAAGAGGAACCAUGCAAGGAAAUGGGGGCUGAUGAAGGCAACGGAAGCACAUACAGUGCAGACACCACACCCUCAAGGAGAAGCCAAAUUCUGUCUUUCCUCCUCCCUAACUGAAAGGUAG